rnacentral:rRNA from 1 species
GACGAACGCUGGCGGCGUGCUUAACACAUGCAAGUCGAGCGGUAAGGCCCUUUCGGGGGUACACGAGCGGCGAACGGGUGAGUAACACGUGGGUGACCUGCCCUCAGCUCUGGGAUAAGCCUGGGAAACUGGGUCUAAUACUGGAUAUGACUCCACGGUGCAUGUCGUGGGGUGGAAAGCCUUGUGCGGCUGAGGAUGGGCCCGCGGCCUAUCAGCUUGUUGGUGGGGUGAUGGCCUACCAAGGCGACGACGGUAGCCGGCCUGAGAGGGCGACCGGCCGACACUGGGACUGAGACACGGCCCAGACUCCUACGGGAGGCAGCAGUGGGGAAUCUUGCGCAAUGGGCGAAAGCCUGACGCAGCGACGCCGCGUGA